rnacentral:rRNA from 1 species
GACGAACGCUGGCGGCGUGCUUAACACAUGCAAGUCGAACGGAAAGGCCCUGCUUUUGUGGGGUGCUCGAGUGGCGAACGGGUGAGUAACACGUGAGUAACCUGCCCUUGACUUUGGGAUAACUUCAGGAAACUGGGGCUAAUACCGGAUAGGAGCUCCUGCUGCAUGGUGGGGGUUGGAAAGUUUCGGCGGUUGGGGAUGGACUCGCGGCUUAUCAGCUUGUUGGUGGGGUAGUGGCUUACCAAGGCUUUGACGGGUAGCCGGCCUGAGAGGGUGACCGGCCACAUUGGGACUGAGAUACGGCCCAGACUCCUACGGGAGGCAGCAGUGGGGAAUAUUGCACAAUGGGCGGAAGCCUGAUGCAGCAACGCCGCGUGCGGGAUGACGGCCUUCGGGUUGUAAACCGCUUUCGCCUGUGACGAAGCGUGAGUGACGGUAAUGGGUAAAGAAGCACCGGCUAACUACGUGCCAGCAGCCGCGGUGAUACGUAGGGUGCGAGCGUUGUCCGGAUUUAUUGGGCGUAAAGGGCUCGUAGGUGGUUGAUCGCGUCGGAAGUGUAAUCUUGGGGCUUAACCCUGAGCGUGCUUUCGAUACGGGUUGACUUGAGGAAGGUAGGGGAGAAUGGAAUUCCUGGUGGAGCGGUGGAAUGCGCAGAUAUCAGGAGGAACACCAGUGGCGAAGGCGGUUCUCUGGGCCUUUCCUGACGCUGAGGAGCGAAAGCGUGGGGAGCGAACAGGCUUAGAUACCCUGGUAGUCCACGCUGUAAACGGUGGGUACUAGGUGUGGGGUCCAUUCCACGGGUUCCGUGCCGUAGCUAACGCUUUAAGUACCCCGCCUGGGGAGUACGGCCGCAAGGCUAAAACUCAAAGGAAUUGACGGGGCCCCGCACAAGCGGCGGAGCAUGCGGAUUAAUUCGAUGCAACGCGUAGAGCCUUACCUGGGUUUGACAUGGAUCGGGAGUGCUCAGAGAUGGGUGUGCCUCUUUUGGGGUCGGUUCACAGGUGGUGCAUGGCUGUCGUCAGCUCGUGUCGUGAGAUGUUGGGUUAAGUCCCGCAACGAGCGCAACCCUUGUUCACUGUUGCCAGCACGUUAUGGUGGGGACUCAGUGGAGACCGCCGGGGUCAACUCGGAGGAAGGUGGGGAUGACGUCAAGUCAUCAUGCCCCUUAUGUCCAGGGCUUCACGCAUGCUACAAUGGCUGGUACAGAGAGUGGCGAGCCUGUGAGGGUGAGCGAAUCUCGGAAAGCCGGUCUCAGUUCGGAUUGGGGUCCGCAACUCGACCUCAUGAAGUCGGAGUCGCUAGUAAUCGCAGAUCAGCAACGCUGCGGUGAAUACGUUCCCGGG